AGAGUUUGAUCAUGGCUCAGGACGAACGCUGGCGGCGUGCUUAACACAUGCAAGUCAAGGGGGCCCAGCAAUGGGCAACCGGCGAACGGGUGCGUAACACGUGAGCAACCUACCGAACUGUGGGGGAUAGCCGGCCUAACGGCCGAGUAAUACCGCAUACGCUUUCAUUGAGGCAUUUCAGUGAAAGGAAACCUACGGGACAGAUCGAGGGGCUCGCGGCCUAUCAGCUAGUUGGCGAGGUAACGGCUCACCAAGGCGACGACGGGUAGCUGGUCUGAGAGGAUGGCCAGCCACAUUGGGACUGAGAUACGGCCCAGACUCCUACGGGAGGCAGCAGUGGGGAAUCUUGCGCAAUGGCCUAACGGCUGACGCAGCGACGCCGCGUGUGGGAUGAAGCUCUUCGGAGUGUAAACCACUGUUGCCCGGGACGAAUAGCUCGAUUAAUCGAGCCUGACGGUACCGGGUGAGGAAGCACCGGCUAACUCCGUGCCAGCAGCCGCGGUAAUACGGGGGGUGCGAGCGUUGUCCGGAAUCACUGGGCGUAAAGGGCGCGUAGGUGGUUUGAUAAGGGUGUGGUGAAAGUCCGGGGCUCAACCCCGGAUCUGCCGUGCCGACUGUCAAACUCGAGGGCUGUAGAGGCAGACGGAAUUCCGGGUGUAGCGGUGGAAUGCGUAGAGAUCCGGAGGAAGACCGGUGGCGAAGGCGGUCUGCUGGGCAGUUUCUGACACUGAUGCGCGACAGCGUGGGGAGCAAACAGGAUUAGAUACCCUAGUAGUCC
rnacentral:rRNA from 1 species